rnacentral:rRNA from 1 species
AUUGAACGCUGGCGGCAGGCUUAGCACAUGCAAGUCGAGCGGAGAUGAGGUGCUUGCACCUUAUCUUAGCGGCGGACGGGUGAGUAAUGCUUAGGAAUCUGCCUAUUAGUGGGGGACAACAUUCCGAAAGGAAUGCUAAUACCGCAUACGCCCUACGGGGUAAAGCAGGGGAUCUUCGGACCUUGCGCUAAUAGAUGAGCCUAAGUCGGAUUAGCUAGUUGGUGGGGUAAAGGCCUACCAAGGCGACGAUCUGUAGCGGGUCUGAGAGGAUGAUCCGCCACACUGGGACUGAGACACGGCCCAGACUCCUACGGGAGGCAGCAGUGGGGAAUAUUGGACAAUGGGCGGAAGCCUGAUCCAGCCAUGCCGCGUGUGUGAAGAAGGCCUUUUGGUUGUAAAGCACUUUAAGCGAGGAGGAGGCUACCUGGAUUAAUACUCUAGGAUAGUGGACGUUACUCGCAGAAUAAGCACCGGCUAACUCUGUGCCAGCCGCCGCAGUAACAC